GACGAACGCUGGCGGCGUGCUUAACACAUGCAAGUCGAACGAUGAAGCCGGAGCUUGCUCCGGUGAAUUAGUGGCGAACGGGUGAGUAACACGUGAGUAACCUGCCCUUGACUCUGGGAUAACUGCGGGAAACUGUAGCUAAUACCGGAUACGACCCUCGGAGGCAUCUCCUGGGGGUGGAAAGAAUUUCGGUCAAGGAUGGACUCGCGGCCUAUCAGCUAGUUGGUGAGGUAAAGGCUCACCAAGGCGACGACGGGUAGCCGGCCUGAGAGGGUGACCGGCCACACUGGGACUGAGACACGGCCCAGACUCCUACGGGAGGCAGCAGUGGGGAAUAUUGCACAAUGGGCGCAAGCCUGAUGCAGCAACGCCGCGUGAGGGAUGACGGCCUUCGGGUUGUAAACCUCUUUUAGCAGGGAAGAAGCGAAAGUGACGGUACCUGCAGAAAAAGCACCGGCUAACUACGUGCCAGCAGCCGCUGUAA
rnacentral:rRNA from 1 species